CAAGUCGAACGGACCCGCAAGGGUUAGUGGCGGAAGGGUGAGUAAUACUAUCGAAUGUACCCCGAGGUGGAGGAUAGGCAUGGGAAACUGUGCGUAAUACUUCAUGAUCUCGUGAGAGCAAAGCCGCAAGGCGCCUUGGGAGCAGCGAUAUUCCUAUCAGGUAGUUGGCGGGGUAAUGGCCCACCAAGCCGAAGACGGGUAGCCGGUAUGAGAGUACGGCCGGCCACAUCGGGACUGAGACACUGCCCGGACUCCUACGGGAGGCUGCAGUAACGAAUAUUCCGCAAUGGGCGAAAGCCUGACGGAGCAAUGCCGCGUGUGGGAUGAAGCGGUUUCGCCGUGUAAACCACUGUCAGAAGAUAGAAAAGAUGAUCAUCUUCAGAGGAAGGGGCGACUAACUCUGUGCCAGCAGUCGCGGUAAGACAGAGGCCCCGAGCGUUAGUCGGAAUUACUGGGCUUAAAGGGUGCGUAGGCGGGCGUGUAAGUGCUUUGUGAAAGCCCUGGGCUCAACCCAGGAACCGCAGGGCAUACUGCACGUCUAGAAGUAGCUAGAGGCCGGUGGAACGAUCGGUGGAGCGGUGGAAUGCGUAGAGAUCGAUCGGAACGCCAAGGGUGAAGACAACCGGCUGGGGCUUACUUGACGCUGAGGCACGAAAGCGUGGGGAUCAAACAGGAUUAGAUACCCUGGUAGUCCACGCCCUAAACGAUGCACACUAGAUCGAUGCGGGUUUCACCCCGUAUUGGUCGUAGAGAAAUUGAUAAGUGUGCCGCCUGGGAAGUACGGUCGCAAGGCUAAAACUCAAAGAAAUUGACGGGGGCUCACACAAGCGGUGGAGCAUGUU
rnacentral:rRNA from 1 species